UACACACCGCCCGUCACACCAUGGGAGUGGGUUUCACCAGAAGUGGUUAGCCUAACCGCAAGGAGGGCGACUACCACGGUGAGAUUCAUGACUGGGGUG
rnacentral:rRNA from 1 species